UCAUCAUCCAAUAAAAAAUAAAAGUAUAGAGUCAUCAAGUUGAAAGUUGUUCUUCAUCUUCCUUUUAUUUUCCUCUCUAAAAUUAUGAGUGGUUCUCAAAAAUGUUGUAGUGUCUUUGAAGUGUAAAUAUAAUACGAUCUGCAGGAAGAAGAUUUCUUCCGAUCUCCGGUGAUGAAACUUCCAACGAAUUUCGACCAUCUCUUGGAUCGAGCAAAAAGUAUAUCAACGUAGAAGAAACUUAAUUGGCAAGGAAGAAAGAAUAAGGUGUACCAAAACUUGCGAUGGCCCAACCUGAGCAUAAAGCUCCCCCGCCACCUCUUCGACACAAGGAGCCAUUCUCAAAUCAUCAUUAUGCACUAGCUCGAACAGGUGGGAGAACAGUAUAGAUCGUGGAAGCGGCCCCGACCUCCGGCUUCACAUUGGUGGUUGUUACUUCAUCAAUCAUCAAAGGAGAAGAGGAAGCCUAAUCGGCUGCAGAAAUCAUCAUCCAAGGCAGCUCAACCUGAUGCAAAGCUGAAUCCUUCCCCACUGCCAAAUGCUCCCAUAGCCGGAGCUUCUCCCAGUGGGAAGAGGAAGCUGGGUCGGCCACAGAAAUUAUCCUCUGACAAAAUUCAAUCCCGAGAUUCCCCGGCGUAGCCACCCAAAGCUUCAGGCGAUGCUUCGGUGGCUGCCAAGUGGAAGCCCAGCCACCCACCUAGAAGCACCACCAAGAAACCAAAUGAAACCGGGAGCAAGAAACAAGGUCGCCCAAAGAAGCAGGACAUUCUGGCACCUUUAGUAGAGGGAAUAUUGACUGCGGCAUCAAAGCCGAAAUGGUGAGGGCGACCUCCUGAGAAGGCGGAUUUAGAACCACCCACUCCGAAGGUGAACCAAUCCUCUCUGAGCUAAUCCAUUAGAACUAGUAUGAUUCUAUUUCUGUUCUCAGUUUGCAAAGACAGACACGAGGUGGAUGUUAGCAGACAGCUUUGCUGCUCCAUUUUGUUCUUGUGUAGCUUGCCAAGUUCUUAGUUUGGUAGGUCUCAAGGAGAAUUGCUUGUUUGAUUGCUCAAACUAAUUCACAAUUUAGAUGGGAAAGCUUGACUUCAUUAGGUUGCCAAUUGUUGUGAAAUUUACAAGUAUUGUAUUGAACCUUUCAUCUUCUAAUU